rnacentral:rRNA from 1 species
CCAAUAGCGUAUAUUAAAGUUGUUGCGGUUAAAAAGCUCGUAGUUGGAUCUCGGUGUUAGUAGGUUGGUCAUGCCUCUGGUAUGUACUGGUCUCACUGAUUCCUCCUUCCUGAUGAGCCGUAAUGCCAUUAAUUUGGUGUUGCGGGGAAUUUGGACUGUUACUUUGAAAAAAUUAGAGUGUUUAAAGCAAGCUAACGCUUGAAUACAUUAGCAUGGAAUAAUGAAAUAGGACGUUCGAUCCUAUUUUGUUGGUUUCUAGGAUUGACGUAAUGAUUAAUAGGGAUAGUUGGGGGCAUUAGUAUUCAAUUGUCAGAGGUGAAAUUCUUGGAUUUAUUGAAGACUAACUACUGCGAAAGCAUUUGCCAAGGAUGUUUUCAUUAAUCAAGAACGAAAGUUAGGGGAUCGAAGACGAUCAGAUACCGUCGUAGUCUUAACCAUAAACUAUGCCGACUAGGGAUCGGAUGAUGUUAAUUUUUUAAUGACUCAUUCGGCGCCUUACG